rnacentral:rRNA from 1 species
AUGGAUUUGUUUUGCGCCGGGGAUGAGCUUUUGCUGGCCAAGUGCCACGAGAUAUACACCUGGUUUCCGAGCGUGAAAUCUCUCGUGAUGCACUCACUGAGCCUGGCGUUGGAAAUAUGUGGAGGCUAUGACCCACGCAACCCUAAAUCAAACUUGGUAACAGAGCCUCUUUUCCAAGCCGCACCGCACGCUCGUUUUUCGCGUCGCCGCUCGCUCGAUCGCAUCGCCGCUCGACUCGAUCGAUCUCGCGUCGCCGCUCGUUCCUGCGUCAACGCCCGGCCUUGCAGCUCCUGUUUGAUGGCGUCUGCUUCGUCUUCUGCAGCGAUGCAACUGGCCAUUAUCGGCCCGGUUGUGACGCAUCCGGCCGCGACGGCGCCAGUCCCGUCCAUCGCGCCUUCCCUUGGCGUACGACUGGAUCGCGACAACUUCCCGCUAUGGUGCACCCUCACCGUGACGCAUCUCUCCGGUGCCUCUCUCCAUGGCUACCUCGACGGCUCCGUCCCUGCUCCGCCCACAACCAUCUCCCAGGGGGCGGGUGCUGCCGCCACCACUGUGGCAAACCCUGCGUAUGCAACGUGGUGGACGCAGGACCAGAAGGUCCUCGGGAUGCUCCUCUCCUCCAUGACGGAGGACAUUGCGUCUCAGCUGAUCAGCUGCAAGUCAGCUGCUGCCGCGUGGACCUCCAUCCACGCCAUGUUCAGCGUGCAGAACCGUGCCGGGGUUCGGCACAUUCGGUGA